GGCAGAUGGGUGCUGUAACGCGUGAGGAACCUGUCCGACGGUGGGGGAUAGCCGGCCCAACGGCCGGGUAAUACUGCAUCCGCUCGUGCUGGGGCAUCCCGGCGCGAGGAAAGCAGCCGCAAGGUUGCGCCGACGGAGGGUCUCGCGACCUAUCAGCUAGUUGGCGGGGUAAUGGCCCACCAAGGCGACGACGGGUAGCUGGUCUGAGAGGAUGGCCAGCCACAUUGGGACUGAGACACGGCCCAGACUCAAUACGGGAGGCAGCAGUGGGGAAUAUUGCGCAAUGGCCGAAAGGCUGACGCAGCGACGCCGCGUGUGGGAUGACGGCCCUCGGGUUGUAAACCACUGUCAGGGGGGACGAAUACGGGGCCUCGAAUAGGGGACCCCGGGUGACGGUACCUCCAAAGGAAGCACCGGCUAACUCCGUGCCAGCCGCCGCGG
rnacentral:rRNA from 1 species